rnacentral:lncRNA from 1 species
ACUUGAAUUUUGGCACUUGAACGACGAAAAUCGGAGUUACGUAGGUCGAGUUAUAAGCAAAACAGUCCAACACACACACACAAUUAUCGAAUCGCUGCCACAGAACAGGGUAAUUACUCGAUCGCUAUUACGAUUCAGUUUCCGGAAUCAAUACAUUCAAAGAAUGUCUAAAUUAGAAAUAAUCAAGGCUAAUCAGUAGGCUUAUACACUGCUCGUUAAAU